rnacentral:sRNA from 1 species
GCCGGGCGCAGUGGCUCACGCCUGUAAUCCCAGAACAGACCAGCCUGGGCAACAUGGUGAGACCCUGUCUCU